GGUGUUGGGGUAUUCUUUCAUAAAGGGGGCCUACGACUGCCUGGGAAGUAGCUCAUGGGGUCCUGGUCCCUACGAACACCAUUGCUGGGAAGGACUGUCCAGAUGAGCAGUAACCUUGAUCCUCACCGUGUCACCCCACCCCACCCCCAGACCAAGAUUCCUUUCGCCUUCUGGAUUCUGAAGCCUGAAAGGUAGUAUUUACUGAAUAGCCUGUGUUGGUGAAGCCAGAUUCGAUUUCCCUAAAUAGAUUCCUCUAAACACAUCCAGAACUCCCGUCGGAGCUGACUGCAGUACUUACGAGCAAACCUGGAAAAGACCUGGAGGUCUUCCGCCACAUCUCCCUCUUGGUUUCUUUCCAGACCAGCCCUUGGAAGUCAAGGAGAAUGUUUCUUCCAUGCUGCUACAUUGAAAUGAAUGCAGCUUCUCUGUCUUGCAAGUCAUCAUGGAAAAGCUGGCGGCCCAGGACCCUGAGAGGCAAGUGUCCACUCUGCCAGCCUCUGCACUCUGCUUCCCUACCCAAUGCACCUGCCACCUCAGAAUCACUUUCCCACCCUACUGAUGG